rnacentral:rRNA from 1 species
AACGAACGCUGGCGGCAUGCCUAACACAUGCAAGUCGAACGAGACCUUCGGGUCUAGUGGCGCACGGGUGCGUAACGCGUGGGAACCUGCCCUUAGGUUCGGAAUAACUCCCCGAAAGGGGUGCUAAUACCGGAUAAUGUCUUCGGACCAAAGAUUUAUCGCCUUUGGAUGGGCCCGCGUUGGAUUAGCUAGUUGGUAGGGUAAAAGCCUACCAAGGCGACGAUCCAUAGCUGGUCUGAGAGGAUGAUCAGCCACACUGGGACUGAGACACGGCCCAGACUCCUACGGGAGGCAGCAGUGGGGAAUAUUGGACAAUGGGCGAAAGCCUGAUCCAGCAAUGCCUCGUGAGUGAUGAAGGCCUUAGGGUUGUAAAGCUCUUUUACCCGGGAUGAUAAUGACAGUACCGGGAGAAUAAGCGCCGGCUAACUCCGUG